UACGGAGGGGGCUAGCGUUGUUCGGAAUUACUGGGCGUAAAGCGCGCGUAGGCGGACCUGCAAGUCGGGGGUGAAAGCCCGAGGCUCAACCUCGGAACUGCCUUCGAUACUGCGGGGCUAGAGUCCGGAAGAGGCGAGUGGAAUUCCUGGUGUAGCGGUGGAAUGCGCAGAUAUCAGGAGGAACACCAAUAGCGAAGGCAGCUCGCUGGGACGGUACUGACGCUAAGGCGCGAAAGCGUGGGGAGCGAACAGG
rnacentral:rRNA from 1 species